CCCCCCCCCCAUACAUUUUUUUGAAUUUAAUAGAUUUGAUUUCCUGUAUUCUGGUGCAUUUUGGGGAUGGCCACUACCUAUUUACCUACUAUUCAUUCAGAUUCAUAGCCUAGUACAUCCUGACUUGCAGGGCCUGGACAAACUUACACUGCAUAUACAGACCUACUUCAUGGCCAUUCCACCAGCCAUUGCUAUUUUACCCAUUGUUGUUAUUCUGAUAUUGAGACAAAUCAUGAUCACUGUCCAUAGUGUCCAUUUUUUCAAAUGCAGUUAGGAAUAUUGGACAGUUGCUUAAUUUUGUUUAUAUGCUACAGGCCGAAAGACUAAAUUAAGUAUAAGUAUAACAUUGCUUGGGGAGUCCAAUUCCUCCACUGAAAAGGGUGGAAAGUGCUCACAACACUCUGCUAGUUAGCGAUCUCUUCUCUACAUGUAGGCAUAAUUGUGUUGCGCGAAUGCUGCUGAGGAAGGUAGCCUAUUUGAUUGAUUCGCUGAAUUGUCCCAUCAUGUGGUGUUAACAAAAAAGAAAAGCGAUACCAUUGGCCGUGCGAGCCGAGGGCGAAUUUUCUUGCGCCAAUGAAAAGCUGUCUCUGCUUGAUAGACAGCAAAAAGUUAGCGAGCUUACAUUGACUUCAACAUGGCCGGCGCCCCUGACUUGGAGGAGGGCUUUAUUUCGAAUGACCAAUAACUAGCCUAGUCCAAAUCAUUGACGUUCAGACACAUUUAAAUUGUUGCUGGCAGUGACAAGUAGGCCUGUAUCACACAAUUAAACGAAAUUAAACGGAUAAACGCUAUGUAUUUUUUUUAUUUAUUUCGUAUUGAUAAAAGUUGACUAAUAGUUGGCAGAUAUAUUCAAGUGAAUAUUUCACGGAGGGGCGGCGCCCUAGCGCCCCCUAUUGACCCACCGCCACUGGUCCUCACCACUAGACCACCAGGGAGGUCCUGACCACUAGACCACCAGGGAGGUCCUGACCACUGGACCACCAGGGAGAGGUUCUGACCACUGAACCACCAGGGAGAGGUCCUGACCACUAGACCACCAGGGAGGUCCUGACCACUGGACCACCAGGGAGAGGUCCUGACCAAUAGACCACCAGGGAGAGGUCCUGACCACUGGACAACCAGGGAGAGGUCCUAACCACUAGACCACCAAGGAGAGGUCCUGACCACUAGACCACCAGGGAGAGGUCCUGACCACUAAACUGAUAAGAACACAAGUAACAUUUUCAAGAACAGGGUGAAGAAGAAUAUUUAUGUACAAUGAUUCAAUAGGAGAGUUCCCUGACCGGGAAUCGAACCCGGGCCGCGGCGGUGAGAGCGCCGAAUCCUAACCACUAGACCACCAGGGAGCCUG
ensembl:lncRNA